AGCGGCGGACGGGUGCGUAACACGUAGGAAUCUGCCCGAUAGUGGGGGAUAGCCCGGAGAAAUCCGGAUUAAUACCGCAUACGCCCUAAGGGGGAAAGCAGGGGAUCUUCGGACCUUGCGCUAUUGGAUGAGCCUGCGUCGGAUUAGCUAGUUGGUGGGGUAAAGGCCUACCAAGGCAACGAUCCGUAGCUGGUCUGAGAGGAUGAUCAGCCACACUGGGACUGAGACACGGCCCAGACUCCUACGGGAGGCAGCAGUGGGGAAUAUUGCACAAUGGGGGAAACCCUGAUGCAGCCAUGCCGCGUGUGUGAAGAAGGCUCUAGGGUUGUAAAGCACUUUCAGCGAGGAGGAAAGGUUGUUGGUUAAUACCCAAUAGCUGUGACGUUACUCGCAGAAGAAGCACCGGCUAACUCCGUGCCAGCAGCCGCGGUAAUACGGAGGGUGCGAGCGUUAAUCGGAAUUACUGGGCGUAAAGCGUGCGUAGGCGGCUGCCUAAGUUGGAUGUGAAAGCCCCGGGCUCAACCUGGGAACUGCAUCCAAAACUGGGCAGCUAGAGUGCGGAAGAGGAGUGUGGAAUUUCCUGUGUAGCGGUGAAAUGCGUAGAUAUAGGAAGGAACACCAGUGGCGAAGGCGACACUCUGGUCUGACACUGA
rnacentral:rRNA from 1 species